UACAGAGGUGGCAAGCGUUGUUCGGAAUUACUGGGCGUAAAGCGUGCGCAGGCGGUUCGUUGUGUCUGCUGUGAAAGCCCCGGGCUCAACCUGGGAAUGGCAUUGGAAACUGGCGAGCUAGAGUGUGGCAGAGGGGGGUGGAAUUCCGCGUGUAGCAGUGAAAUGCGUAGAGAUGCGGAGGAACACCGAUGGCGAAGGCAGCCCCCUGGGCUAGCACUGACGCUCAGGCACGAAAGCGUGGGGAGCAAACAGG
rnacentral:rRNA from 1 species